rnacentral:rRNA from 1 species
GAUGAACGCUAGCGGGAGGCCUAACACAUGCAAGCCGAGCGGUAUUGUUUCUUCGGAAAUGAGAGAGCGGCGUACGGGUGCGUAACACGUGUGCAACCUGCCUUUAUCUGGGGGAUAGCCUUUCGAAAGGAAGAUUAAUACUCCAUAAUAUAUUGAACGGCAUCGUUUAAUAUUGAAAGCUCCGGCGGAGAGAGAUGGGCACGCGCAAGAUUAGCUAGUUGGUGAGGUAACGGCUCACCAAGGCGAUGAUCUGUAGGGGGACUGAGAGGGUGAUCCCCCACACUGGUACUGAGACACGGACCAGACUCCUACGGGAGGCAGCAGUGAGGAAUAUUGGUCAAUGGGUGCAAGCCUGAACCAGCCAUCCCGCGUGAAGGACGACUGCCCUAUGGGUUGUAAACUUCUUUUGUAUAGGGAUAAACCUACCCUCGUGAGGGUAGCUGAAGGUACUAUACGAAUAAGCACCGGCUAACUCCGUGCCAGCAGCCGCAGUAA